AUGGUGCAGACUGCGCACAGAAGAAAACCACCUAUCACUGUGCUGAAGUUGGAUUUCCGCAAGGCCUUUGACAACGUCAGUUGGAGCUGCCUGCUCCAGGUCCUUGAAGCCCGUGGUUUCCCCCCGUUGUGGACACAGUGGAUCACCACUCUUUUAUCCACGGACAUCUCCAGAGUGCUGCUAAAUGGAGAGGUCGGGGAACCUAUCUCUCAUAAGAGAGGGUUUCGCCAAGGGGAUUCAAUUUCGCCUUAUCUCUUUAUCCUGGUGGCUGAAGUGCUUCAGAGGCUCUGCUCUGGCACUUCCAAAAUGGAAACUUGA
rnacentral:rRNA from 1 species